UUUUCCACAAUGGGCGAAAGCCUGAUGGAGCAAUACCGCGUGGAGGAAGAAGGAUCGUGGUCCGUAAACUCCUUUUCUUAAGGAAGAAUCAAUGACGGUACUUAAGGAAUAAGCACCGGCUAACUCUGUGCCAGCAGCCGCGGUAAUACAGGGGGUGCAAGCGUUGUCCGGAAUGAUUGGGCGUAAAGCAUCUGUAGGUGGUUUUUAAAGUCGACUGUUAAAUCCCAGAGCUCAACUUUGGCAGGGCAGUCGAGCACUUAGAAACUUGAGUACGGUAGGGGUAGAGGGAAUUCUUAGUGGAGCGGUGAAAUGCACAGAGAUUAGGAAGAACACCAGUGGCGAAAGCGCUCUACUGGGCCGUGACUGACACUGAGAGAUGAAAGUUGGGGGAGCGAAAAGGAUUAGAUACCCUUGUAGUCCCAACUGUAAACGAUGGAUACUAAGUGCUGUCAAAAACAGUGUCUGUAGCUAACGCGUUAAGU
rnacentral:rRNA from 1 species